CUUUUUUCUCUCAAUAUUAUUCAUUCCUCGCUAUGACAACAAGAGGUUGUGUAAACGACCCAAAAUAUUAUGUUAUAUUUGUGGUAAAUUUGUUGUAAAUUUGAUCUAAGUAAGAGUUUUUUUUUCUUCCCGAUUUCUAAAAAAUCCUUACCUGAU